rnacentral:rRNA from 1 species
UACGUAGGGUGCGAGCGUUGUCCGGAAUUAUUGGGCGUAAAGAGCUCGUAGGCGGUCUGUCGCGUCGGUCGUGAAAACUUGGGGCUUAACCCUGAGCUUGCGGUCGAUACGGGCAUGACUGGAGUUCGGUAGGGGAGACUGGAAUUCCUGGUGUAGCGGUGAAAUGCGUAGAUAUCGGAAGGAACACCAGUGGCGAAGGCGGCUUCCUGGACCAAUACUGACGCUGAGGUGCGAAAGCGUGGGGAGCAAACAGG